rnacentral:rRNA from 1 species
CUACGGGCGGCUGCAGUAGGGAAUCUUAGACAAUGGGGGAAACCCUGAUCUAGCCAUGCCGCGUGAGUGAUGAAGGCCUUAGGGUUGUAAAGCUCUUUCGCUGGGGAAGAUAAUGACGGUACCCAGUAAAGAAACCCCGGCUAACUCCGUGCCAGCAGCCGCGGUAAUACGGAGGGGGUUAGCGCUGUUCGGAAUUACUGGGCGUAAAGCGCGCGUAGGCGGGCUAUUAAGUCAGGGGUGAAAUCCCGGGGCUCAACCCCGGAACUGCCUUUGAUACUGGUCGUCUUGAGUUCGAGAGAGGUGAGUGGAAUUCCGAGUGUAGAGGUGAAAUUCGUAGAUAUUCGGAGGAACAUCAGUGGCGAAGGCGACUCACUGGCUCGAUACUGACGCUGAGGUGCGAAAGUGUGGGGAGCAAACAGGAUUAGAUACCCUGGUAGUC